rnacentral:lncRNA from 1 species
AAGGGUAGGAGGCUCUGGGAAGCAAACUGAACAAGGAAUGAACUGUUGUCACCACACUGUACGGCCUUUUUAAGAACAUGAAGAUCAAGUCACAGGAGGAGGUCUGUCUUUUCUGCUGUCCAUCAAAGAGUUUAUUUACUAUCACUGACUUUCCUGGAGAGUCCCUGAAGGAUGAUGUACAGAAGAACAUGCUGGAGUAGCCAUAAGCUCAUGAUGGCUAGUGGACUAGGUUCAAGGUUGUUGUCAUCACAGAGGACCAAAGGUCAUUCUGGACUGAGUAGUAUGUGCUCUGGGGAAGUAGCCACUGCUAUUCAAGUUCUGGGUUGAACUUGAAUCUUAUCUGGGAUAACAUCUUAUCUGGGUUCUCCAUGGCCCCUAUGCAGAGAGGGGAACAUGACUGGCAAGUCCCUACCUUCAGUUUAGAUUACCAUAGUUCUAUGCUGGCAUGCCUCAUUACUGCCCCAAGCACUUGCAUAAUCUCAGGUCUUGUGCCCAAGAAUCUGCUGCUGUUGCUGUUGCUGCUGGCUAGCACUGACGACAGAUGCAUAUCAGCAAGUGGCUGCACUGAUGCCCUAGGUAGACUUGCUAAGACCACCUUUGAUGCCAUCUCCAAGACCUAUAGCUGUCUGACCCCUGACCUCUGGAAUAAGACCAAGCCUCUCUAUAGUGAACUCACCAACUAUCUCAUUAAACCCUUGCCAUAUUAUCUUUGUGGAAGAUCCAGACUUCAGCUAUUGCUACCACA